rnacentral:rRNA from 1 species
GUAGGUGGCAAGCGUUGUCCGGAAUUAUUGGGCGUAAAGCGCGCGCAGGUGGUUCUUUAAGUCUGAUGUGAAAGCCCCCGGCUCAACCGGGGAGGGUCAUUGGAAACUGGGGAACUUGAGUGCAGGAGAGGAAAGUGGAAUUCCACGUGUAGCGGUGAAAUGCGUAGAUAUGUGGAGGAACACCAGCGGCGAAGGCGACUUUCUGGCCUGUAACUGACACUGAGGCGCGAAAGCGUGGGGAGCAAACAGGGAUUAGAUACCCUGGUAGUCCACGCCGUAAACGAUGAGUGCUAAGUGUUGGGGGGGUUUCCCGCCCCUCAGUGCUGCAGCUAACGCAUUAAGCACUCCGCCUGGGGAGUACGGUCGCAAGACUG